rnacentral:rRNA from 1 species
UUGCUUUCUUGCUGACGAGCGGCGGACGGGUGAGUAAUGCCUGGGAAAUUGCCCUGAUGUGGGGGAUAACCAUUGGAAACGAUGGCUAAUACCGCAUAGUAGCUUCGGCUUAAAGAGGGGGACCUUCGGGCCUCUCGCGUCAGGAUAUGCCCAGGUGGGAUUAGCUAGUUGGUGGGGUAAAGGCUCACCAAGGCGACGAUCUCUAGCUGGUCUGAGAGGAUGAUCAGCCACACUGGAACUGAGACACGGUCCAGACUCCUACGGGAGGCAGCAGUGGGGAAUAUUGCACAAUGGGCGCAAGCCUGAUGCAGCCAUGCCGCGUGUAUGAAGAAGGCCUUCGGGUUGUAAAGUACUUUCAGUGGUGAGGAAGGUAGUAUGUUUAAUAGACAUAUUGCUUGACGUUAGCCACAGAAGAAGCACCGGCUAACUCCGUGCCAGCAGCCGCGGUAAUACGGAGGGUGCGAGCGUUAAUCGGAAUUACUGGGCGUAAAGCGCAUGCAGGUGGUCUGUUAAGUCAGAUGUGAAAGCCCGGGGCUUAACCUCGGAAUAGCAUUUGAAACUGUCAGACUAGAGUACUGUAGAGGGGGGUAGAAUUUCAGGUGUAGCGGUGAAAUGCGUAGAGAUCUGAAGGAAUACCGGUGGCGAAGGCGGCCCCCUGGACAGAUACUGACACUCAGAUGCGAAAGCGUGGGGAGCAAACAGGAUUAGAUACCCUGGUAGUCCACGCCGUAAACGAUGUCUACUUGGAGGUUGUGGCCUUGAGCCGUGGCUUUCGGAGCUAACGCGUUAAGUAGACCGCCUGGGGAGUACGGUCGCAAGAUUAAAACUCAAAUGAAUUGACGGGGGCCCGCACAAGCGGUGGAGCAUGUGGUUUAAUUCGAUGCAACGCGAAGAACCUUACC